ACUUUUGACUCUCACAAGACACAACUAAGUGUUUUACUUGAUUUAAAGCUCAUUCUAAGCCAUAAAGGGUGUGUUUUACUAUCAAAUUUAAGCAUGAAAAUAACGGUUUUUAGACCGUUAUCACUAAGGUAACCUCUUCCCUCUCAACAAUUCCUGCCCUCAUUUUGUAUAACUCUAUCUUUUGCCUAUAUUCUUCCACAAUCAUAGAGUUUUGUUGCAACUUUUGGAGCCUAUCUAGGAGUUCUCUUUUACUUUGGAAGUCUGUAGUCUAAUUUUCCCUAGACCUCUCCCU
rnacentral:lncRNA from 1 species